rnacentral:rRNA from 1 species
GAUGAACGCUGGCGGCGUGCCUAAUACAUGCAAGUCGAACGGGGAGUAGCAAUACUCUUAGUGGCGAACGGGUGAGUAACGCGUUGGUACCUGCCCCGAAGCGGGGGAUAACGGACCGAAAGGUCCGCUAAUACCCCAUGUGCUCGGUAACGAGUAAAGGUGAAAACCACUUUGGGAGGGGCCUGCGUCCCAUCAGCUAGUUGGUAAGGUAACGGCUUACCAAGGCGAUGACGGGUAGGGGACCUGAGAGGGUGGCCCCCCACAAUGGAACUGAAACACGGUCCAUACACCUACGGGUGGCAGCAGUAGGGAAUAUUGGUAAUGGGCGCAAGCCUGAACCAGCAACGCCGCGUGUGCGAUGACGGCCUUCGGGUUGUAAAGCACUUUUGACUGGGACGAGGAAGGACGGUACCGGUCGAAUCAGCCUCAGCUAACUACGUG